ACGUACACUCCUACGGGAGGCAGCAGUGGGGAAUAUUGCACAAUGGGCGCAAGCCUGAUGCAGCCAUGCCGCGUGUAUGAAGAAGGCCUUCGGGUUGUAAAGUACUUUCAGCGGGGAGGAAGGCGAUAAGGUUAAUAACCUUGUCGAUUGACGUUACCCGCAGAAGAAGCACCGGCUAACUCCGUGCCAGCAGCCGCGGUAAUACGGAGGGUGCAAGCGUUAAUCGGAAUUACUGGGCGUAAAGCGCACGCAGGCGGUCUGUCAAGUCGGAUGUGAAAUCCCCGGGCUCAACCUGGGAACUGCAUUCGAAACUGGCAGGCUAGAGUCUUGUAGAGGGGGGUAGAAUUCCAGGUGUAGCGGUGAAAUGCGUAGAGAUCUGGAGGAAUACCGGUGGCGAAGGCGGCCCCCUGGACAAAGACUGACGCUCAGGUGCGAAAGCGUGGGGAGCAAACAGGAUUAGAUACCCCAGUAGUCCCA
rnacentral:rRNA from 1 species